UCUCCACAGCUGCCUCUCUUUGCUGCAAGACCCCUGUCCACACAGCAGGAAGCACGAAAAUCCAGGCAGGAUGGCUUAAGGGCUUGAGAAAAGAACUAAAGGCAUCUGGGCUGACAAAGGAUCAGAGCUCCUUGGCUGUGGCAGAUCCACAGGGUAUUCACUGUGUGAAGAUGAUACAUGAUGGUCCUAACCAUCAUGGACAGGGAGUGAACUCCCCUGUUCAGAAGAACCUCUUCCCACCCUGCAGUCUGAGUUCCUGAGGUCUGGCGCAUGGACAUUUCCUGUAGCCAAACACCAGACCCCUCCUUUCUCUCUGCCCUAUACAGGAACAUCUUUGGCAGUGGAACCACAGAGGUAAAAAUGUCAGCUCUAAGAACAGGCUGCAGGAAAUGCUGUCAAGUGACUGCUGGAACAGAUCCCAUGGGAUCUGUCGGUGCAAGACAGCUGUUCAGGUUGAGUAGAGCUCCUGCCUGGGCCAGCUGUGUCCAAAUGAGCUGGUACUGUUGCCUCCUACCCCUGGCAGAUGGGACCGAUGGCAGUGGGCUCCUCAUGCAGUCAGGCAGAAGGCUCCUGUUCCCUAUGGGAAGGCAGCACAACUGGUCUGGGUUGCAAAGCAUUUAGGGAAGAUGCCAGUCUUGCCAUUGCAAUGUCCUUCAAGCCAGUCCUCGUUCACUGAGAAAACAAGAAGAGUCAAGAUAAGCUCUGGCUCAUAGGAGCAAGACUCUUUCAGGGAGCCUGCAGACAAGACUGGAGAGCUACCUUCAGAGAGAAUAUCCAGCACAUCCCCCUUGCUGAACUCCAGGUCUCCUGGUCCCUGUGCCGAGUAUGAGUGCUGAGCCAGCAUCCGGUAGAGGAUGGGUCUGCCUGAGUGGGAGUCCGAGUCCUACAGCAGAAAAUCAGCACGAAGGUUGCAAGGAACAGCAGAGACUAGAUUAGGGCCCAGCACAGCAGAGACACUUGUCACAGCCCACGUACCUGGCAGCAGAGUGUGAUCCUGCCAUCUGUCAGCUGCUGCCACAUCUUCUCUAGAUCUUCCUCUCCCGAAACUGCACCUAGUUCUUUGCCAUCCAAAUGCCUGUAGCUGUAAGGGUUCAUUAACGUGACUCAAAUCAUAUGAUCUAAAGACAAACAUUUAGGCAAUUCUAGCCUUCUACAAUCUUCAGUCCGCAAAGCUCUCUUUGUAAACCAGCUCCAAGCUUGUCACCUUGUGCAAUGACAAGGGGUCACCCUGCAUGCUGAAUGGGCACAAAUGGCACUGUUGGGGAGGGUCUUGCCUCCUAAGACUCCUACUUGAGGGGUAGGUCCAAAUCUCUCAUGUCUGCACCAACUGAGAGUCCCCAGGGAUGUCACGGUCAGGGAUACCCACCCCAGGACUAGCUCACACUGAAUUCCUAGAUCGCUCUGCAUUGAUCCCAGUGUGUCUUUAAGGCUGGGCAGAAGAAAAUUCAAUAUACAGCAGCUGCAUCUGUACGAAGUUUUUCCUUCUGUUUCUUUUUUUCUUGACAAUGGCAGUUUCCUUGGAAAGCUCCUCCAGUCUCCAAAGCCUGUGGAUCACAUUCUGUUCCCCAAAUGCUAGACUGCUUUGGUGCUGGAGACCAGACACGGUCAGAUAGACGCCUGUGUCCUCAGGGAAAUCACUGCUGCCAAACACUGCAAGGACAGCAUGCACAGUGAGUGCUGGAGGACGCCGUACCUCAGCCUCCCACGCUCUGCCUGCUGGCCAAAGCGCUCCCGGAGCAGUGCCCGCAGCGCCGGCACGGAGGGCACCUCGCCUGCCCUCACCACCACCGUGCACUCACAACGCACUCGCAGCACAGCUGGUCUGUCUGUGCUGGAUGAAGCUUCUCUGUGGGUGAGUGGGCUCUGCAGAGAGAUGUCGCAACACAGACAGCUUGGUUAUUCAAGGGAGCUUUUAUCAUGAAAGCUGGCAGACGCAAGAUCUUGCUUCAGUGCGGCCGUAGUGGCAAGGAAGCAUCAAAAUGAAGAUUUGAGUUUUAGAGAGGGAAAAUGUGGGUUCAAAGCCUAGGACCAAAUGUUCCUGUCAUGACCCAGGAAGCCUGUUUCCGGCUCAGAUAUUAAAAAAAACAACCUCUAAAGGUAAACGUGUAUGAGCCGAGCCCCAAGUCCUCCACACAACUGGAGAGGUGCAGCCAAGGCCCAUGUCCUGCUGCCUUCUGUCAGAAGUACAGCUCCAAAACAAGACCCCCAAAUCCCUGCAAACAUGGGCAGUGAAGACGAAGGGAUAAGAGCUGAUCUGCAGCUGGCACUGCUAGAGAGGUGCUGACCGCAAAUAGACACAAAAGCAGUUCCAGCUCCACCACACUUUGGCUGGCAAUGACAUGGAGCUGGAUUGGAUGGUAUUAUCCGACAAGAAAGCUAGUAUGAACGUUUGAAUUAUCAUCAUAAGCAGACUGACAAGGACAGAAGAUGAUACACGGGAGGAGGGGGACAAGGGAUAGCAGGUAGUUCAGAGGCAAAAUGGGCUGCAAGCUGGGCACUGCUGUGCCUGGGGCUUUUGGCUCCUAGGAAGAUGGCAAAAGAGCUCUGCCCUGGGAAACCUCAACUGUGGGGCUGCCUCACAGAGCUGCAGGGUCAUGAAAUCAGGAGCGAUGGAGGAAAGGCCCCGUAAGCUCUCCGUGGAAAGGAAAAAUGGGCAGAGGAAGAGGUUUUGUGUUUUUUUUUUCCAGUGAUUUUGGGGCAGCUCAGGAAUUUUGAAGCACCUGGCCAUAAUCUGAUCCUUUACGCUUUUUGUAUCCUUCAUUUCCUAAGGCUGUGGCAGCGUCAGUUUGUUAAACACCUUACCUCAAAAUCCACUUGGGAUCCAGAAUCAUUUGCAGAAACAUUUUCUUCCCCAGGAGAAUCUACAGAAUGAGAGCACAAAAACAGCACCUGCAAUCAGCAGAGGUCCCACACAGCUCUUCUGCAACCCACCAGCACACAGGCAGCCACUGCU
rnacentral:lncRNA from 1 species